rnacentral:rRNA from 1 species
GCACAAGCAGCGGAGCGUGUGGUUAAUUCGAUGCUACACGAAGAGCCUUACCAGGGUUUGACAUGCAAGUGGUAGGAAACUGAAAGGGGACCGACCUUCGGGAGCUUGCACAGGUGCUGCAUGGCUGUCGUCAGCUCGUGUCGUGAGAUGUUCGGUUAAGUCCGCUAACGAGCGCAACCCUCACUGUGUGUUAUAUGUGUCACACGGGACUGCCGGUUUUAAGCCGGAGGAAGGUGGGAUGACGUCAAGUCAGCAUGGCCUUUAUAUCCUGGGCUACACACACGCUACAAUGGUCGGUACAAUAGGUUGCCAAGCCGCGAGGCGGAGCCAAUCCAUAAAAGCCGGCCUCAGUUCAGAUUGUAGGCUGCAACUCGCCUGCAUGAAGAUGGAGUUGCUAGUAACCGCAGGUCAGCAAUACUGCGGUGAAUACGUUCCCGGGUCUU